GAGCUUGUCUCUCGGGUGACGAGUGGCGCACGGGUGAGUAAUGUCUGGGAAACUGCCUGAUGGAGGGGGAUAACUACUGGAAACGGUAGCUAAUACCCCAUAACGUCGCAAGACCAAAGAGGGGGACCUUCGGGCCUCUUGCCAUCAGAUGUGCCCAGAUGGGAUUAGCUAGUAGGUGGGGUAACGGCUCACCUAGGCGACGAUCCCUAGCUGGUCUGAGAGGAUGACCAGCCACACUGGAACUGAGACACGGUCCAGACUCCUACGGGAGGCAGCAGUGGGGAAUAUUGCACAAUGGGCGCAAGCCUGAUGCAGCCAUGCCGCGUGUAUGAAGAAGGCCUUCGGGUUGUAAAGUACUUUCAGCGGGGAGGAAGGGAAUAAGGUUAAUAACCUUGUCGAUUGACGUUACCCGCAAAAAAAGCACCGGGCUAACUCC
rnacentral:rRNA from 1 species